rnacentral:rRNA from 1 species
GGGCAGGUUGAAGGUUGGGUAACACUAACUGGAGGACCGAACCGACUAAUGUUGAAAAAUUAGCGGAUGACCUGUGGCUGGGGGUGAAAGGCCAAUCAAACCGGGAGAUAGCUGGUUCUCCCCGAAAGCUAUUUAGGUAGCGCCUCGUGAAUUCAUCUCCGGGGGUAGAGCACUGUUUCGGCUAGGGGGCCAUCCCGGCUUACCAACCCGAUGCAAACUGCGAAUACCGGAGAAUGUUAUCACGGGAGACACACGGCGGGUGCUAACGUCCGUCGUGAAGAGGGAAACAACCCAGACCGCCAGCUAAGGUCCCAAAGUCAUGGUUAAGUGGGAAACGAUGUGGGAAGGCCCAGACAGCCAGGAUGUUGGCUUAGAAGCAGCCAUCAUUUAAAGAAAGCGUAAUAGCUCACUGGUCGAGUCGGCCUGCGCGGAAGAUGUAACGGGGCUAAACCAU